rnacentral:misc_RNA from 1 species
AGCUAGAAAGAGAGAAAAGGAAGAGAUAGAAAGGAAAAGAAGGAGAGAGAAGAGAAAGAGAGAGAGAACGAGAGACAAAAAAUGGUGGAUUGAAUUGUUUCAGAAUUUUCUGUUCUGUCUCUCUCUUCUCCUUCUCUCUUUAUAGAAGUAUAUAUAUACACGCAGAUAGAUGUAUAUAUAUUUAUAGACGAUAUAUCGUCAGUUUAGAAACAACCAAAAUCAAGUUGUGUUCCGUUCCAUCCGUUGUCAAAUAUAUAUAUUUAAAUCCAUGUGCUUCAUGUCCAGCUGAUUGUCACUCCAUCGAUACAACAAACUCCUCAACUUCAGAUUGCUGUGGAAGAAAAGAGGCAAGACAGCAGAGAAAAAAAUAAUAACACAUCUCGUUGCUGUCUUCCUUUUAUCUCUCUUCCUAUAUAUAUAUUAUAUUCUGUGUCUUUCUGGAUUUAUCACAAGUUUUUAUUUAUUUAUUUUACCGGGACUACAAAAUCGAUAAUUAACCUUUUAUAGCAAAAAAAAAACCCAAAAAAAUCCUCCUCCUCCUCCUCCUUAUAAUUAACUGUAUGUGUAUGCUUGUGUCUGUGUGUACGUUACAACAACACCCGCAAUAAGAAAAUUUCAUUAUAUGAUAGGAGGUAGCUGUUGUAUGUAAUGUAGUGCUUGGAGGUUUCACUAUUCCCAUUUACAUACAUGUAUAUGAUUCUGAUUUACACUAUUAAUAAUAAUAAUUUAUCGAUCUGUAAGUGCCGGGGAAUACCGACACUACCUUUUUACGUACGCACAGACUGCUAGUUAGAUAUAUUUACACACGCUUACGCACAUGAAUAUACAUAACUAUAAAUACAAUACCUUUGGCAUCUAGUGCUCACACAAUCUUAUACACACACAUAUUCAUAUACAUUAUAUUGCUAAACAUAUUUGUAAAACAACCUGUGGCGACACCAAAUACAUUUUGGGUUGGGUCUUCCUUUUCUCACACAAUGGUGUAUAUAAUAUGAUAUCAUGUAAACGCACAUAAGGAUAUAUAUUAUUACCGCAACCCUUUAUGUCAACGUCUACAUACAUGCGAGGAGGUUAAUUUAAUUAAUAAGUUAGGUUAAUUAAUUGAUAAACGUUAAAUCAAAGGAGUAGUGGAAGAGGAAGAAGUGGAAUAAAGGUUUGUAAAAUAUUCGCCAAAAUGACUUCUACAGCCGCCAACUCAGGACGAAGAAGAAUAACAACGAAAGCCUAUACGGCCGAGGAUCAAGCUUUGGAUCAGAUAGCACGAGAGGCUGAGGCUAAAUUGGCUGCCAAGAGAGCGUCAAGAAGUGAAGCCAGGGAAAUCCGAAUGAAGGAACUUGAAAAACAGCAGAGAGAGAAUGAAGAGAAACAAGAUCGGCUAUAUGAACUGACUAAUGAUUUACCAAAGAACACCAUGAGACAUGCAAACAGCCGACGAGGAAGCGACGAUUCAUCGGAGGAGGGAACACGUGAAAUAAAGUCACAGCUGAAUGAGUUAGAAGAUAAGUACAAAAAGGCUAUGGUGGGUUCAGCCCAACUCCAUAAUGAGAAGCAGGCCCUUGUUUAUGAAGUUGAUCUCCUUAAGGAUCAGCUGGAAGAACAGGAGGAAGAAGUCAUUGAAUAUCAACGUCAGUUUAAGGAUAAAUGUAAAGAACUUGAGUCCAAAAAACGAUCAUAUCAAGACUUAGACACUGAAUGUAAAACUGCCAAAUACCAACUUGAACAAAGAGAUAAGAUUAUUCGCGAAAAUGGUAUGGUUAUUAUCAUCUCAGAUGAAGGUGUUUGGUCUUUGGUAAAGGCGUCAUCACCAAACGGCCCACUAACAGCUGGAAUUCCAACAUUGGACAUCGUCGACUCCAAAUUGUCACAUGAUGUGGACUCGUCGUUAGAUUCUGUGGUCUAUGACAGUGCACUCUCACUGACCGAGUCUUCUCAUGACCUCAACAGUGAUGACAGAAUGUCAAAAAGUCGAAUGUCAAUUGAUUCCAGUGCUGGUUACACUGCUAAACCCCAUGGAUCUACUCGUGAUCUUUCUUCCUCUGGCCGAAGAAACAGCCUUGUCUCUAACGGUCAACGUUCUAUUUUCUCUCGUGACUCUUCACCAAAGAGUGGUAUUUUAGACCGUCGUGCUAGUCAGCGGUCAAUUUACUCACCUGAACCACUGUCCAGGGGUCAAGCUUUUCGCUCAAGGGAAACAUCCAUUGACCCACGAUCAGGGGAAAAUGCUGCUAUUUUGGAAGAGAACAAAUUAUUAAAAGAAGAGGUUAAGAAGUUGACUCAGAACCUAGAAGAAGAACGUUCAAAGAAAAAUGUUGACAAUCACCAAAUGAUAGAAGCAAACGGUCCAGAAAUGCAACUCUAUGAAAUACAAAGAGAAGCUAGCAAACAGAUUCAUGAAUACAAACUAAAACUACAGAAAGCCGAACAGGACAUUGCUACAUUGGAGGGAUCAGUAAACAGACUUGACUCUCAGGUGAGACGAUAUAAAAGUGAUGCAGAGGAUUCUGAAAAGUUGGAAGAUGAACUGAAGCAGGAAAAGAGGAAACUUGUACGCGAGUUGCGAGAAGCCCAAAGUCAGAUUGAAGAACUACGUAACCACAACAGCCACCUGCAGAAGAGGUUAGAGAAGAUGAAACAGUCACGGAACUUGGUCAAGUAAACUCCUUGACCAAUUCUUUUUCUUCUUCUACUUCGUCUAUAUAUGUAUAUAUAUAUAUAUAUAUAUAUAUAUAUAUAUAUAUAUAUAUAAGCAUAAAGGAAUCAAACAUGUACCAGGAAGACAUUCCUUUCACAAAGAUAUUUACAACAACAAAACAAAUAUUUAAAAAAAAUUAAUUCUAAAAACAAAACAAAAAAACUUAAAAUGGGAGAACAACACCUACCCCACCAAUGAACCCUUAAAAAA